UGAGUGGCGCACGGGUGCGUAACGCGUGGGAACCUGCCCUUAGGUUCGGAAUAACAGUUAGAAAUGACUGCUAAUACCGGAUAAUGUCUUCGGACCAAAGAUUUAUCGCCAAAGGAUGGGCCCGCGUAGGAUUAGCUAGUUGGUGGGGUAAAGGCUCACCAAGGCGACGAUCCUUAGCUGGUCUUAGAGGAUGAUCAGCCACACUGGGACUGAGACACGGCCCAGACUCCUACGGGAGGCAGCAGUGGGGAAUAUUGGACAAUGGGCGAAAGCCUGAUCCAGCAAUGCCGCGUGAGUGAUGAAGGCCUUAGGGUUGUAAAGCUCUUUUACCCGAGAUGAUAAUGACAGUAUCGGGAGAAUAAGCCCCGGCUAACUCCGUGCCAGCAGCCGCGGUAAUACGGAGGGGGCUAGCGUUGUUCGGAAAUACUGGGCGUAAAGCGCACGUAGGCGGCGAUUCAAGUCAGAGGUGAAAGCCCGGGGCUCAACCCCGGA
rnacentral:rRNA from 1 species